rnacentral:misc_RNA from 1 species
GCUUCAUCUCUGUUUUCUAUAAUGCAUGCAAGUAAACUUUUUUCUGACUCAUUGUACGCUAACGUAUAUAUUUUUCUCAAAUUUUCCUAGAGAAACACUCAGAGAUUUAUUCCAAUUGGCAGGUUUACCCUGUCAUUGCGUGCAACAAAUAUUGAAAUCUAAAUAUGCUAUUCCUACAAGGCUACAACCCCUUUGUUGUCCAAACUAUUCUCGCAGUCCUUCCUUAAUGACCCUAUAACCCGGAGAAACCAAUAUUUAAACCAUUCUCAAGCAUGAAAAAUUU